CACGGGGGAUGCGAGCGUUAUCCGGAUUUAUUGGGUUUAAAGGGCGCGUAGGCGGGAUGCCAAGUCAGCGGUAAAAGACUGCAGCUAAACUGUAGCACGCCGUUGAAACUGGUGACCUAGAGAGAAGUCGAGGGAGGCGGAACAAGUGAAGUAGCGGUGAAAUGCUUAGAUAUCACUUGGAACCCCGAUAGCGAAGGCAGCUUCCCAGUCUUUGUCUGACGCUGAUGCGCGAGAGCGUGGGUAGCGAACAGG
rnacentral:rRNA from 1 species